GACGAACGCUGGCGGCGUGCUUAACACAUGCAAGUCACGGGGGUCCGCAAGGACAACCGGCGAACGGGUGCGUAACACGUGAGCAACCUACCGAUUUGUGGGGGAUAGCCGGCCCAACGGCCGGGUAAUACCGCAUACGCUCUUUGGGCUUCAUGGCCUAUUGAGGAAACCUCCGGGGCAAAUCGAGGGGCUCGCGGCCUAUCAGCUAGUUGGCGAGGUCACGGCUCACCAAGGCGACGACGGGUAGCUGGUCUGAGAGGGUGUACGGACACAUUGGGACUGAGAUACGGCCCAGACUCCUACGGGAGGCAGCAGUAGGGAAUUUUGCGCAAUGGAGGAAACUCUGACGCAGCAACGCCAUGUGUGGGAUGAAGCAUUUCGGUGUGUAAACCACUGUCAG
rnacentral:rRNA from 1 species